rnacentral:misc_RNA from 1 species
UGAAGAGGGUAAGGAGAUAUGUCAUAUAUUGUAUGCAGAUGACACUAUCAUAUUUUGUGAGCCAACAGUGGAUAAAAUUAGGUUUAUCAGACUAAUUUUGAUACUCUUUGAGAGUGCUUUAGGGUUUGAGAGUCAAUCGGGGAAAGAGCAGCCUUUUCCAGUUUUGGAGGUUUCUCAGGUUCAGAGCUUGGCCAACAUACUAGGAUGCAGAAUAGAAAAUACCAACCACUUAUCUUGGUAUGCGCCUAGGCUAUAAGCACAAAGCACUAGAGAUAUGGGAUGGGAUUCUAAAGAAAAAUAGAGCAAGUUAGCAUCAAUGGUUGUAG